rnacentral:tRNA from 1 species
GGGAGUAGAUGGGUGCUGGUGUGCCCUCUGGUCUUCAAAACCAGUACGAGGGGUUAGAAGCCUCUUGGGUGGGUUCGAUUCCCACAUACUCCCGCCA